UACGUAGGGUGCAAGCGUUACUCGGAAUUACUGGGCGUAAAGCGUGCGCAAGCGGUUGUGCACGACAGAUGUGAAAUCCCCGGGCUCAACCUGGGAAUUGCAUUUGUGACUGCACGGCUAGAGUGUGUCAGAGGGGGGUAGAAUUCCACGUGUAGCAGUGAAAUGCGUAGAGAUGUGGAGGAAUACCGAUGGCGAAGGCAGCCGCCUGGGAUAACACUGACGCUCAUGCACGAAAGCGUGGGGAGCAAACAGG
rnacentral:rRNA from 1 species